rnacentral:piRNA from 1 species
UGCUAGAAUUGUACCUGGCCGGGACGCC